AUAUUCCUACGGGGGGCAGCAGUGAGGAAUAUUGGUCAAUGGCCGAGAGGCUGAACCAGCCAAGUCGCGUGAGGGAAGAAUGUCCUAUGGAUUGUAAACCUCUUUUGUCAGGGAGCAAAGUCACCCACGUGUGGGUGUUGGAGAGUACCUGAAGAAAAAGCAUCGGCUAACUCCGUGCCAGCAGCCGCGGUAAUACGGAGGAUGCGAGCGUUAUCCGGAUUUAUUGGGUUUAAAGGGUGCGUAGGCGGACUGUCAAGUCAGCGGUAAAAUACGGGGGCUCAACCUCCGCCCGCCGUUGAAACUGG
rnacentral:rRNA from 1 species